rnacentral:lncRNA from 1 species
GCACUGGCGGGGAGAGCUGGCACGGGAGGGGGAGCUAGGGAGAGAGGGAGGGGAAGGAGACAGAGAGAGGGAAAGGAGGAGGAGGAGGACCAGGAGGAGGAGGGAGACAGGCAGGGGGAGGAGAGGAGGAGGCUCCGCGCCCCGCCACCAGCAGCACCUCCGCCGCCUUCACCACUGCCACAGCCACCAGCGUCCGCCCGGCUGCGCAGGACCUGCCACCGCCGCCGCUGCCGCCGCUGCCGCCGCCUGCCAGACAUCCGGGGCGGGCGACCCUGACCGCUGGGACUCUGUCGCGUCCUCUGACUUCUCCUUCUCUGUCCAAUUCUUUUGGGGUGAAACACUGUUUUAAGCUCUUUGGUGCCAGCGGUUUUCGAGGCUUCUGGGGCUGUCAUUGGAUGUUGUACUGGGGGGGAAAACCCCACCUGCUCCCUGUGCUAACGGAUCAAAUCGCCCAGGCGCACACGCGGGAACAUGAAGGAGCUUAA